rnacentral:rRNA from 1 species
UACGUAGGGUGCGAGCGUUAAUCGGAAUUACUGGGCGUAAAGCGUGCGCAGGCGGUGUUGUAAGACAGUUGUGAAAUCCCCGGGCUUAACCUGGGAACUGCAUCUGUGACUGCAAUGCUGGAGUGCGGCAGAGGGGGAUGGAAUUCCGCGUGUAGCAGUGAAAUGCGUAGAUAUGCGGAGGAACACCGAUGGCGAAGGCAAUCCCCUGGGCCUGCACUGACGCUCAUGCACGAAAGCGUGGGGAGCAAACAGG